GACAGAGGAUGCAAGCGUUAUCCGGAAUGAUUGGGCGUAAAGCGUCUGUAGGUGGCUUUUUAAGUCUGCCGUCAAAUCCCAGGGCUUAACCCUGGACAGGCGGUGGAAACUACCAAGCUGGAGUACGGUAGGGGCAGGGGGAAUUUCCGGUGGAGCGGUGAAAUGCGCAGAGAUCGGAAAGAACACCAACGGCGAAAGCACUCUGCUGGGCCGACACUGACACUGAGAGACGAAAGCUAGGGGAGCGAAUGGG
rnacentral:rRNA from 1 species